rnacentral:rRNA from 1 species
GACGAACGCUGGCGGCGUGCCUAACACAUGCAAGCCGAGCGAAUGAAGUUCCUUCGGGAACGGAUUUAGCGGCGGACGGGUGAGUAACACGUGGGCAGCCUACCUCAUAGAGGGGAAUAGCCUUCCGAAAGGGAGAUUAAUACCGCAUAAGAUUGUAGUACCGCAUGGUACAGCAAUUAAAGGAGCAAUCCGCUAUGAGAUGGGCCCGCGGCGCAUUAGCUAGUUGGUGAGGUAACGGCUCACCAAGGCGACGAUGCGUAGCCGACCUGAGAGGGUGAUCGGCCACAUUGGGACUGAGACACGGCCCAGACUCCUACGGGAGGCAGCAGUGGGGAAUAUUGCACAAUGGGGGAAACCCUGAUGCAGCAACGCCGCGUGAGUGAUGACGGCCUUCGGGUUGUAAAGCUCUGUCUUCAGGGACGAUAAUGACGGUACCUGAGGAGGAAGCCACGGCUAACUACGUGCCAGCCGCCGCAGUAA